AGACAUGGACGACGCGAGUCAAAAUGUAGUAUCUGUUCUUAUCAGCUUAAUAUCUGAUACGGGCUGUAUUUGGACCCAAGAUAUUAAACUUAUUUUUGCAAGUUGGCGGAGUGCUUGAAGCCUGCUUCACCUCCGCUGCGGGUCGGCCCGGUAUUGCAUUAUCUUCGGGAUCGGCCCACGGUUU
rnacentral:snRNA from 1 species